GGCUUAGAGUUUGAUCAUGGCUCAGGAUGAACGCUGGCGGCGUGCCUAACACAUGCAAGUCGAGCGAAGCACUUUGCUUUGAAUCUUUCGGGAGGACGAGCGAUUUGACUGAGCGGCGGACGGGUGAGUAACGCGUGGGCAACCUGCCUCACACAGGGGGAUAACAGUUAGAAAUGACUGCUAAUACCGCAUAAGGCCACAGCACCGCAUGGUGCAGGGGUAAAAACUCCGGUGGUGUGAGAUGGGCCCGCGUCUGAUUAGGUAGUUGGUGAGGUAACGGCUCACCAAGCCGACGAUCAGUAGCCGACCUGAGAGGGUGACCGGCCACAUUGGGACUGGGACACGGCCCAAACUCCUACGGGAGGCAGCAGUGGGGAAUAUUGCACAAUGGGGGAAACCCUGAUGCAGCGACGCCGCGUGAGCGAUGAAGUAUUUCGGUAUGUAAAGCUCUAUCAGCAGGGAAGAAACUGACGGUACCUGACUAAGAAGCGCCGGCUAAAUACGUGCCAGCAGCCGCGGUAAUACGUAUGGUGCAAGCGUUAUCCGGAUUUACUGGGUGUAAAGGGAGCGCAGACGGACUUGCAAGUCUGAAGUGAAAGCCCGGGGCUCAACCCCGGGACUGCUUUGGAAACUGUAGGUCUAGAGUGCUGGAGAGGUAAGUGGAAUUCCUAGUGUAGCGGUGAAAUGCGUAGAUAUUAGAGGAACACCAGUGGCAAAGGCGGCUUACUGGACAGUAACUGACGUUGAGGCUCGAAAGCGUGGGGAGCAAACAGGAUUAGAUACUCUGGUAGUCCACGCCGUAACGAUGACUGCUAGUGUCGGGAGCAAAGCUCUUCGUGCGCAGCUAACGCAAUAAGCAGUCACUGGG
rnacentral:rRNA from 1 species